rnacentral:rRNA from 1 species
GACGAACGCUGGCGGCGUGCCUAAUACAUGCAAGUCGAGCGAAGUUUUUCUGGUGCUUGCACCGGAAAAACUUAGCGGCGAACGGGUGAGUAACACGUAAAGAACCUGCCUCAUAGACUGGGACAACUAUUGGAAACGAUAGCUAAUACCGGAUAAUAGCAUUAACUGUAUGGUUGAUGUUUAAAAGUUGGUUUUGCUAACACUAUGAGAUGGCUUUGCGGUGCAUUAGCUAGUUGGUGGGGUAAAGGCCUACCAAGGCGACGAUGCAUAGCCGACCUGAGAGGGUGAUCGGCCACACUGGGACUGAGACACGGCCCAGACUCCUACGGGAGGCAGCAGUAGGGAAUCUUCCGCAAUGGGCGAAAGCCUGACGGAGCAACGCCGCGUGAGUGAAGAAGGAUUUCGGUUCGUAAAGCUCUGUUGUUAGGGAAGAAUGAUUGUGUAGUAACUAUACACAGUAGAGACGGUACCUAACCAGAAAGCCACGGCUAACUACGUG